rnacentral:tRNA from 2 species
GGGCCUAUAGCUCAGUUGGUAGAGCCCCCGGCUCAUAACCGGUCGGUCGUAGGUUCGAAUCCUGCUGGGCCCACCA